UGUUUUUCGUAUAGUGUGCAAUUUUUGUCCCUCACUGUACUAAAAUUGUUGAUAAACAAUGCAAUGGAACUCGAAAAACAAUUUCGAGUUUGCUACAAGAAAAUGAGAAAUUGGAGGUUGAAAUUGAAAAUUAAAUUGAAAUCACCUUCUUCGUUCUUCUAGGCUCCGACUUCGCCACUUCGGGCUUCUCCAGUGAAUCGAUUCUUCUUCUUUCGUUGGGCUGGCAGGCGGCGUCGUGGCAACUGACGGUUCAAGUGUAGAGCCCCUAAUCUAGGAGAUGCCGUCGCCGAUGGACUGGAACUGCAGUCUAGAAGUCGACAACUGCGAGUUGGAGUGGCUACUGGCGAGAAGCAAGCGAGGGUCGAGAGAGACGCGAUUCAAGUUUAAGCAAGGGU
rnacentral:lncRNA from 1 species